rnacentral:rRNA from 1 species
UACAGAGGGGGCAAGCGUUGUUCGGAAUUACUGGGCGUAAAGGGCGCGUAGGCGGCCUUCUAAGUCGAACGUGAAAUCCCCGGGCUCAACCCGGGAACUGCGUCCGAUACUGGAAGGCUUGAAUCCGGGAGAGGGAUGCGGAAUUCCAGGUGUAGCGGUGGAAUGCGUAGAUAUCUGGAGGAAUACCGGUGGCGAAGGCGGCAUCCUGGACCGGCAUUGACGCUGAUGAGCGAAAGC